UUUUUUUUAUAUGAAGAGUUUUCUCUAAUUUCUAAUUAGAAUUUUAUCUCUUUUUAAAAUUUUAAU
rnacentral:tRNA from 1 species